rnacentral:lncRNA from 1 species
GUAGAUUUGAAUGUAAGGAAAGACUAACCACAUGAGCUUAUAUGUUAGGAUCACAUAAUUAACUAUAUUUCAAACUACUAAAAAUACGAUUGAAUACUACAAUACUUUUUUCUAUUAAUAAUACUCCUUCAUCAACCAAUAACAACAAAGUACAAUCCUACACUCUCAAAAUUCCACUCAAAAUACAUAAAUCCCAUCCAACACUGGAAAUAAUAGACUUCCAUUCCAACUAAUUUAGCUUCACACAAUUUUUGUAAUCACAAACUUAUUCUAUUGAAAUAUACACAACUCUCAAUAAACAAUCAUAAUCUUCCAUCCAUAAACCAUCUCCGAUACAAUCUGAUAACAAACUCUCAAUAUCUUCUCAUAAUAAUUCAUUCCUACAUUACUUCAAUUACAUUCUCAAUAUCUUAUAAAUCAAUCUUUGAUUUAUUCCUUAAAUUCACUUCAUAGUGAUCAAAACCUAAAACAACAAAUAAAUAAGAAACAAGAGAUAGCACCAAGUUUAUCCCAACUCAUGACUAUCACAGUCUGGCC